rnacentral:rRNA from 1 species
UACGUAGGGGGCAAGCGUUGUCCGGAUUUAUUGGGCGUAAAGAGCGUGUAGGCGGCCAUGUAGGUCCGUUGUGAAAACUCGAGGCUCAACCUCGAGACGCCGAUGGAAACCAUGUGGCUAGAGUCCGGAAGAGGAGAGUGGAAUUCCUGGUGUAGCGGUGAAAUGCGUAGAUAUCUGGAGGAACACCGGUGGCGAAGGCGGCAUCCUGGACCGGUAUUGACGCUGAGGAGCGAAAGCCAGGGGAGCAAACGGG